CACAUGCAAGUCGAGGGGAAACGACAUCGAAAGCUUGCUUUUGAUGGGCGUCGACCGGCGCACGGGUGAGCAACGCGUAUCCAACCUGCCCACCACUUGGGGAUAACCUUGCGAAAGUAAGACUAAUACCCAAUGAUAUCUCUAGAAGACAUCUGAAAGAGAUUAAAGAUUUAUCGGUGAUGGAUGGGGAUGCGUCUGAUUAGCUUGUUGGCGGGGUAACGGCCCACCAAGGCGACGAUCAGUAGGGGUUCUGAGAGGAAGGUCCCCCACAUUGGAACUGAGACACGGUCCAAACUCCUACGGGAGGCAGCAGUGAGGAAUAUUGGUCAAUGGACGAGAGUCUGAACCAGCCAAGUAGCGUGCAGGAUGACGGCCCUAUGGGUUGUAAACUGCUUUUAUAAGGGAAUAAAGUGAGUCUCGUGAGACUUUUUGCAUGUACCUUAUGAAUAAGGACCGGCUAAUUCCGUGCCAGCAGCCGCGGUAAUACGGAAGGUCCGGGCGUUAUCCGGAUUUAUUGGGUUUAAAGGGAGCGUAGGCCGGAGAUUAAGCGUGUUGUGAAAUGUAGAUGCUCAACAUCUGCACUGCAGCGCGAACUGGUUUCCUUGAGUACGCACAAAGUGGGCGGAAUUCGUGGUGUAGCGGUGAAAUGCUUAGAUAUCACGAAGAACUCCGAUUGCGAAGGCAGCUCACUGGAGCGCAACUGACGCUGAAGCUCGAAAGUGCGGGUAUCGAACAGGAUUAGAUACCCUGGUAGUCCGCACGGUAAACGAUGGAUGCCCGCUGUUGGUCUGAAUAGGUCAGCGGCCAAGCGAAAGCAUUAAGCAUCCCACCUGGGGAGUACGCCGGCAACGGUGAAACUCAAAGGAAUUGACGGGGGCCCGCACAAGCGGAGGAACAUGUGGUUUAAUUCGAUGAUACGCGAGGAA
rnacentral:rRNA from 1 species